AAUUCUCAACCUUUUUCCAACUUUGUUGAACUAGGCUUGGAUUCUGGGAGUGUGCAGGCUGAAUGUAAAGUUUAAGCCAGCUCUCCUUAAAUGCAUUAGCUGAGUUUUGUCUUUAUUAUUGACAAGCUUUUGGUAUGAUAAUAAUUUUAUGCCGCUGCUUGGAGAAAACAAAUAAGAGAGAUAUUAAUCAGCUUUUCAACUAUUCUGUGUUAACAGAAUGAU
rnacentral:misc_RNA from 1 species